GGGAGUGCUGAAAGACAAACUUUAUCUUUUUUUUUUUUUUUGUGAAGUGUUGGUGCAUCCUGUUGGUGUUCGGAGAAGUUGUGACUCAGCUUGCUUUGUCUACAUUAGUGGAAUCUUUAAGUCUUUCUGGUCUGUCUCAGCACACUCACUGGCAGGCCCUAGACUACAUUACCCAAGUCAUUUUGCCAUCUUGGAAUCCUGAGUAUGUCAUCAUUCUGUAUUGGAGAUGAGAUUGCUCAGAAACACUGAAUUCAGAAUGGGAUCUAGGAAGAUGGUAUUUCUGGAGCAAUAAGUCAUUUGCUGAAUGAUUAUGCAAAGCAUAAAUUGCAUUGUAGUCCUAGAAUAAUACAAAGCUUCCCUUUAGUUGUUGCCAUAAAUUAAUAACUGGCAUUUUAAUGCACUAAAUGAACCACAAAUAGGAUUUUAGUAGUUAGAUUUAUACCUUUGACUUCUAGGAAUUUCAACUACAUUAGAGUCCAUAUACACAAAAGGGGCAAGCCCUUUUCCACAGCGUUUCCAGCUUCUCCACAGAAACCUAGCCCUACAUGAGCAAAAGAUCACACUCUGUGCUUCAUCAAAGAAAUUACACAAUUAUAGAUUCCAGCAUCUCCCAGGAGUCCUUUGAAUUUGGAUUAAGGUCUGUAGUUACGUGGGUAAGGGAAUAACUAGGUAAUUGGCUUUCUGCACCUGGAAUGUAUUCUCCUGGGUAUAAGAGGCUCAUUUUAAUCAGAAGUGUAUGGGAUGAAAGUGAACCCUGUCUCUUAAGGGGAGACUCCUUAAGAGGAGGAUUGGGGCCAUAUGUUUUAAUAGAUCUUCUCCACAAUCUUUAAUAUCUAAGCUGCUUCCCCUUGUCCACUAAUUUGCUGUAGAAUUUUUCUAGCAUGUUUAUGAUGGUGUUCAGGGCACACUACCCCAAAAUAUAACACCUUGGCAUAUUGAAUAUUUUAAGCUGAUGGAAUUGGAGAAACGGCAGGUGUGAGGACUCUGAUCUUCCCGUGAAGCAGGUCAUAAGACCUUCAUGUGAGAGAUGCCUUCCCUAUACCUGGAGAAAAGAAGCAAUCUUAUCUGUGAAGACAGACGCCAGGAGGAAUCUAAAUUAAUAGGCCUUGGGACCCCACACGCACCGGCCUUGUGCUGUUGCUGCCCUGGCACCCCUUCUAGAAGGUAGAUAUUUUUCCUCCUGACAAGCCCUACAACCUUUAUGAAAAUAUUUAACUCUUUUGCUUUAAUUUCCAUUACUGCUAUAAGUGAAAAAAGGAUGAAGGAUUGAAUGAAUAGGAUUGAACCAUCUACUAGGCACUGUGCUUGUUGUAACUUUAGAUAUGUAUUUUUUUCUAUUUAAUCCUAACAAUAACUCCAUGGGAUAUUUUUCUUAUCCCUAUUUUAUCUGUGAAGAAACUAAUGUUUAUAGAGCUCAAGUAAUCUUAGUAAAAAUCACGAACCUGGAAUUAGCAGAACCAGCGAUCAAACCAAGGUUUAUUUAGCUCCAGACCAUUGCUUUACUAUAAACUAUAGUAUAUAGUAUAAACUAUAGACUGGGUUAAUUUACAUUUUUCUUCAUAAAGAUAUGCUAGUUAUGAUUUACUAUCUUGCUGUCAAAAGAUUUUCAGUUUUUCAUAUUUAGAAUUUGUUCCAGUAUACUUUACAAUGGUAGAUCUCAGAGUUUUUGAAAUGCAGAUUUGUGGGCCCAAACCCUGGACCUACUGAUUCAGAAGCAGUGGAGAUAGGGCCCUACAGCAAGCUUUCCAGGCAAUUCUGAUGCUUGGGAACGUUUGAGGACCACUGCUUUUGAAUAGCAGAGUUAAGCUGAAUUGGUUCAUUCUCUUACUUUGGAAGAUAAUGGUCCUUUCUUUCAGGACAUCUCUUCAAUCUUUUACAGACCAAUAAAAGUGAUAUUUUGUAGAUUUGUGAUUACGGUGUCACAAAUGCCAUGAUGUUUCCUGUGUCAGCUCAGAUUCUUUGAGGUGUAGUGUUGAUGCAGAUGCUGAGGCUAAGUCUGUGUUCAGUGAGAAAGAGUGGGUAAUUGAAUAAAUCUCUGCUGCAUAUAUGGAAGUGAAAUAACACGUGUGUUACUAUUUGUCAUCCCAAACUUAGGACUCUAUUCUCUAUAACAGAAGUGGGAGCCUUGGACAACUGAACACCUAUCUCUAGCUUAAGAAAUAUCAGCUCUUUUUUUUUUUCUUUUUUGAGACUGUCACCCAGUCUGGAGUGCAGUGGCGCCAUCUUGGCUGUCUGUAACCUCCACUUCCUGGGUUCAAGCGAUUCUCCUGCCUCAGCCUCCUGAGCUGGGGCUACAGGUAUGCACCAUCACUCCUGGCUAAUUGUUGUAUUUUUAGUAGAUAAUGGGGUUUCACCAUGUUGGCCAGGGUGGUCUCAAACUCCUGACCUCAGGUGAUCUGCUUGCCUUGGCCUCCCAAAGUGCUGGGAUUACAGACGUGAGCCACCAUGCCUGGCCAAGAAAUGUCAAUUCUUUAUUAUAGCCUGGCUUUCCAUAUUUCUCACCAGGCUUUUUAUUCUCUAGUUUGUAAAUCACAUUUGGCGUUUGUAGAUCACUCCUUCCCUUUUAGUGGCAUUCUCUAUUAGGUGUCUGUCUCCCAAUACGAAGAAACAAUUUUCUUCUUUUUCCUCCUUUAUCUGAUCCAUUUACAGAUUUAUUACAUUUGUAAUAGGCUAGGUAUUGGGGAUACAAAAAUGAAUAAGAUAUGGUCUGUUCUCAAAGGUAUGCAGAAACUUUUCUGUAUAUUCCUACUGACUUGUAUUUAUAUUUCUUUAAUUAAAAAAAAUCCUGGCUGUGUUUUUUUUUUGUUUUUUGCUCUUAGUGAAUCUUUGUUUCUUCUUUUCAUUAUGGCAUUCCAAUUUGAGUUUCACCACUCAUUAUCAUGAGAAUAAAUAAUUUCACUGACUUUAAUAAUA